UUUAUAGGAGGAAACACUAUCGCUUGCAUCUGAGACAAAGUCGGAAGUACUUGUAUGCAGGAAGAGAAGUAAACAUGAAGUUCUAACCCCUACCAUAGUCCAAAGACUCAGAUGUGUCAAGUGGCAACAUAAUUAUUUCUUGAAUCUGAUUCUGGUGGUCUACGCCAGGAACCAUUGGAGCAAGCACCAAAACACAUUCAGCUAGUGCUGUUGGUCGAGACAAAAGAUCCUCUAUCGGAAUUUCUUUCCCCUGUACUUGAGUCCAACUGUGUCUGCGCUCUUCCAAAAUAUCAGCAAGCCUCUGCAAUUUCGUGAAACAUGCCCCUCGAAUCUUAUAGGACUCAAAAUCUCAAAGACUCUUGAUAUGCAACAAGAAUCACUACAGAGACCCGUACCAAAUCUCAGCCAGGCCUCAUCUUAUAGAGCAUUGCUCUCUCAAAUUCAACUAAGAAGGCAAACAAUAGUGGAAUAAGUCCAAUAGAGAGUCCCUUUAUAAUAUCAUAUAGGAGGAAGGAAAACAUAUGUGUCCCAACACAUAUUUAAAGUUGAUGAUUGCACUGAUACAAUAACAUUAUUGCAUUGAUGCAAUAUUCUGAUUGUACCGAUCAAUAUUAUGACUGAACUAAUAUUUUGAUUGCAUUGAUAUUGCAUAUUGAUUGUAUGAUUUAGAAUUAAUAAUAAAAUAAGUGUCAUGUUCUUGCUUA